UGUUUUUGGGUGGCUGGAUGGUGGGACCAUUAUUACCCAGUAGCUGUUUGUCUUUGUCUCCCCUCCUUACUCCCUAAUUCGUUUCACAGUAAGUGGAUGUCCAUAAGGUAGAGUAGCCAGUAGCUCUGUAGUUGUAGUUAUUCCUCUUAGGCUCCUUAGCGAGGCCUGCUUCCCGCAGCCUGUUUUUAUUUAAAUCUGGACUGUAAUCGUCUUCGCCUGUCAGGAAUGGUCCCAUCCGUCAGCCAGUGAAAUAACCCAGAGGUGGACAAACUCGAAGCCUCCGAGUCUCUGAGGAAACAGGAAGAGCAGGCUACAGAGUCUCAACCCAUUGUUUACGGCACACCCCAGCUUAUGCUCACAGCAGGGCCCAACGUGCCCGUGCCUCCUCAGCAGCCCUACGGCUACGGCUACACAGCAGCACCCAACUACGGCCAGCCGCCACAGACCACCUUCGGUUACGGCAUGUGAACACCCAACUACCCACAUCCUCCCCCACCCACAACUCAACCCAACACCUUCCUUCCAUCUGUUCUCCCUCCUUUGUGUUCCUCACCAGCUUCCCAUGGUCUUCUACUCACAACAGGGGCCACAAGCAAGCAACAGCCCACUCUCGUUUCUGGCACUAUUUUUUUAUUCUGUCGUCCUGUUCCAGGAGAAAACACUUAACUGCAUCGAAGGACUUUUAUUUGUAUUGUUUGAAAGAAAUUGGACCACACGUUUGUUUUUUUCCACAUUCCAUAUUUAUGACUACUUAUUAAGAUAUUUUUGUGUGGUUUUGUUUUGGGUUUUUUUUGUUAAUGUCAAAAUUUUUUAUUGGUUUAUGGAGAAGUGGACUUGCUCAAGCUCAGCAAUGAGCCUUUGAAGUAGGUGGAGGAGCAUUGGAUUUUGCACUCAUGAAGAAAUUAAUGUAGAAGAGCUCUUACUUUUGAUGUACUGAACAUGUGGACAGCUUACAUUGUCUCGUUUGUCUGUAUAAUGCAUUUCAUCAUUGUAUAUUCUGAGGAAAAAAGGUUACAUAUAAUAUUGAACAUAUAUUGCCAUUUCAGUGGCUAUAGCUAGCAACACUAAGUAAUGAUAGUAUAUUCUGCACAGGCGUGUAGCUUUAUGGAGUUUUAAAUGCAUACAGACGUAUGUCACUGUGUGACUGGGAGUGUGUGUGUGUGUGUGUGACCUAAAGGUCUGAAUAAGAAUUUUAACCCCCCUCUCUCUCAGCCUGUACUGAGCUUCUUCACUCCACCCAUCUAGAUAUUAGCGCUCCCUCAUUAGCUCCAUGUAUUAAGGUGACCUCUUGUGCUGUGUACAGUGCUUGUGUGAGACUGUAUCUGUGUAUGUGCAAGGACGGGACCACGGCCACUAAACCCCAGGGCCCUUAACCGUACCGCGUGUAUGUAUUUACUCUGAACCCUUUUCGUGCUGAGGUCCGUGUAUGCCAGGUGUUGUGGUGUUCCCCUCGGUCACCGUUACUUUUUUUUUUUUUUCCCCUCUUUUUCUUUUUCCUCCUCGCGUGUACAGAUGUGAAGAAUUGAAAACUUUUAGAUGGAGACCCCCACCUCUCUGUCGUCCAUCCCCUCCCCUGUCUUGUUACCUCCUUUGUUAAUGCUUAGUGGCAAGAACAAAGAAAGAGGCAGAGGAAGACAGGCUGGUGGAACGUUUAGUGUUUUAACGACAGCUUGAUUAGCUCCAUAAACACUCCUGUAGGUUGUGUGUUUAGAUGGUUACGAUGAAGAAAUUUACUAAGUCUCCAUACAUCCAGUUCUCUGUCAAGAAUGGUUUGAAAUAAGAGCCUGUUACUUACCUUGAUGUACUUAACUUCCUUACAUGCUUUAAGCUGUGUGUGUAAAGUGUCAUCCUAACCCUGACAUAAGUUGAAUUCCUUUCUGUUGUCAUGCAUAUUAAUAAAGGGGAUCUGUCAUCGAUAAGUGGAAGAAUAUGACUUAAUUGAAAGGGAACUACUAGCCUAAAUAAAAACUAAAAAUUGUA